rnacentral:rRNA from 1 species
ACUGCGAGUGAAGAGGGAAGAGCUCAUCAUUGGAAUCUGGCAGUGUUGCACUGUCCGAGUUGUAGAUGAGGAGUAGUCCGUCUGGACUGCAUGGCGUCCAAGUACAAUAGGCCGUCAGUGGGACAUCAUAGAGGGUGACAAUCCCGUCCUUGACGCUAAUGUGCAAGUCUAUUACGAUGGCUAUCUCAGAGAGUCGAGCAGUUUGGGAUUUGCUGCUUAAACAUGGGAGGUAGAUUCCUUCUAAAGCUAAAUACAGGCGAGAGACCGAUAGAGAACAAGUACCGCAAGGGAAAGAUGAAAUAGCACUCUGUGAAGGGAGUCAAAAGGCGUGAAAUUGUUGCGAGAGAAGCGAUUCAAGUCAGCGUAGCUAGGCCCAUCAAGCGUCUUCGCUUUGGACUAGCUUUGCCAGCGGUCUUGUCCCUUAAAGAGACUUGACUUGUAAUAUGUCCAGCCUGGCGUGCACAGGCAGCCCCUUCUGGGGGGCCAGUGGCAUGGCUGGUGGAAUGGCUUGCAAUCGACCCGUCUUGAAACACGGACCAAGGAGUCUAACAUGUAUGCGAGUAUAAGGGUGGCAAACCCGUAUGCGCAAUGAAAGUGAUUUUCGGUGAUUGAGAAUGGCCUGAUGACCAGACAAGCAAUACAUGUCCCUCGUACGGCCAUUGCCCAAGUUCCGUGGUAGAUCCCACGAACAUGGAGUUGGAGCAUACAUGCUAGGACCCGAAAGAUGGUGAACUAUGCCUGGACAAAGCGAAGCCAAAGGAAACUCUGGUGGAGGCUUGUAGCGAUUCUGACGUGCAAAUCGAUCGUCUGAUCUGGGUAUAGGGGGCGAAAGACUA